CCUACGGGGGGCAGCAGUGGGGAAUAUUGGACAAUGGGGGCAACCCUGAUCCAGCCAUGCCGCGUGUGUGAAGAAGGCCCUCGGGUUGUAAAGCACUUUCAGUGAGGAAGAACGCCUGGUGGUUAAUACCCAUCAGGAAAGACAUCACUCACAGAAGAAGCACCGGCUAACUCCGUGCCAGCAGCCGCGGUAAUACGGAGGGUGCGAGCGUUAAUCGGAAUUACUGGGCGUAAAGCGCGCGUAGGUGGCUUGAUAAGCCGGUUGUGAAAGCCCUGGGCUCAACCUGGGAACGGCAUCCGGAACUGUCAAGCUAGAGUGCAGGAGAGGAAGGUAGAAUUCCCGGUGUAGCGGUGAAAUGCGUAGAGAUCGGGAGGAAUACCAGUGGCGAAGGCGGCCUUCUGGACUGACACUGACACUGAGGUGCGAAAGCGUGGGUAGCAAACAGGAUUAGAUACCCCUGUAGUC
rnacentral:rRNA from 1 species